rnacentral:sRNA from 1 species
AGCCCGUCCCCGCCGCGGAGGUGCCGGUGGAGCCUGGGACCGGGCGAGUCUCCGCCCCGCUUUUGCAGCUAGGGGUGUGUUUCAGGGGGGAUUGGGGCAAGCCAAGCAGGCGAGGACCCGGGCCUGUGCCGCUUUGCCUACCCCUCAUCCCUCGGCACCAAGGCUACUUGAGCCCCAGGGUGUUUUUUCCUUGUUCCCGCCACCUCUUGGUCCCUGGCCCAACAUGAUACUGACCAAAGCUCAGUACGACGAGAUAGCCCAGUGCCUAGUGUCUGUGCCGCCUACCAGGCAGAGCCUGAGGAAGCUGAAGCAGAGGUUUCCCAGUCAAUCGCAGGCCACUCUGCUGAGCAUCUUCUCCCAGGAGUACCAGAAACACAUUAAAAGAACACAUGCCAAACAUCAUACUUCAGAAGCAAUUGAAAGUUACUACCAGAGGGACAGGCCACGUUGUUACCUUUCAGAUGGAUUGACCUCAGUAGCCUUUUGUUUGAAAUGUGCAGGUCAAAUGUUCCUGUCUGUGCUAAGAGACAGGUUUCACCGUGCUUGCCAGGAUGGUCUCGAUCUCCUGACCUCGUGAUCCGCCUGCCUCGGCCUCCCAAAGUGCUGGGAUUAUAGGCGUGAACCACUGCGCCUGGCCUCCAAUGUUCUAUUAUUGUAAAUAAUAC